CACUAAAAGCUUGCCUCAUGCUUCUUCUCAACUCCAUGAACUCACUCACGAAGUCAAACAAAAGAUUCCUCUCCACCUUCAAGUGCUCUUCUCCAUCGCUUUCUGUUCCGCUGCUCCACUUCUCCAGCAUAUCAAACACCUUCAAGUUCCUUGGCCUGUUAUAAUCUUCCAAAUUUGAAAGCCCGUAUGCUUGUUCCCCAGCUUGAUUCAUGUCAAGCAUAUGAUCAUCACUUGAAGAACAACCAUGGUUAUGCAUACCCUGCAGUUCACCGCUAGGCGGAUUAGAGUGAGAUCUUCUGUCUCCUUCCCCAGAUUCGAUGCUAACCUCACUGGAUAGUGAAACAGCAGAGGGCACCCUUGUUGCCAGAGUACAUUCCUGUGAGUUGGUUCUAGAUGCCAAAUCUCGCGCCUUUCCGUUGAACAGGUCACUUGAAGCAUCACCAUCUGUCAUAUGUAAACCAGGAGCAUUGACAUCAAUGCUGUUUGUAUGAGUCGAAGAUUGUGACGCUUUCUUCGUAGGAGAUGUAAAUGUGAAGGAAAUAACAUCCUCGCCAGUGUUCCUUUUUAAUGCAUCUUGAUUCAUGCUCCCAUCAUUUGUUAUAUUGCAUUUUAUGGACUUACCUUCAUAGCUAUUAACAACAUUAACAGGUAGAGCAUCCCUUUUGGGAUACCUAUUCCUCAUGGAAUUGCUGUUUGUCUUGAUCAGUGAAAACUCCUUUUUGGCACCACUUGCUCUUCUGCCAGAACUGUUGGGUCUGACCUUGUCAGUUACAAAAUUCUUGUUUGUCACUUUCUUUGCUCCACUUGUCGAACUUCGUAUGGUUGACUUGUUGGAUUCUACUAUUGAAGUUGAUCUGACUUUGUUGGUAACACUACUAUGCAUCUGCACCCCCUGCCCGAGCUCAUCGUAACAGCUAUUCUGGCUUGUACAAGCUCUCUGCUUCAUAACCUGCCGCCAGAUUGGUUUCUGGGUCCCAAAGAACUGGUUGGAUGCAGCCUCAAUCUGUUCUUUCUGCUUAUGUCCCCUGUUACCAUGUGAAGUUAAUGCACCUCUGCAUUGAACACGGACCUUAGCUUGUAUUGCAAGUAAAGUCGAUUUUCCUGUACUCCCAUGACUGUAAGGACCAAACUUUUCUGAGUAUCUUGAACCCUCGAAAGUAUUUGCAUCCACAUUGUUUUCAUGCAUGGAUGCAUGAUGUGCAGCUUCUGAUUUCUGUUUCGAAUCAAGAACUCUCAUAGUUGCAUUCUUGAGUCGUCUUGCUUCAAUUGUCCUGUUUUCCGCUAAAUGUGCCCUUGAUUUCAUGGGGUCAACAGCAUCCUCAUGACAAUGAGAAGAAACAGGAGAGUUAGAGGCACGCGACGAAGUCAAAGAGAGCUUGUUGAGUGUUGAAGUUGGCAAUGAAUCCAAACCCAUUAGUCUCGCUACUAAGCAUGGUACCUUGCUCUCACAUCCUAUAUCACUACUAACUGAUAGCUCACAGUUGAAAUCGCAACUCGUGAUGUUGCUCGGAUUUAUUCCACUCUCAUCUGCCUUUGUCUGAAACAAAUUCAAUCAAUCAAUGGCCAAUUCUAGUAUCACAUCCACAAAAAUGUCAAGUUUAUACGAAGAAACAGUGACCUGAAAGAAGGUGAAAGAAUUGCGUACCGUAGUCAACUGUGAUUCUGUCAUGUUCCCCAUAUUUUCCUUCGCUUGCUUCAAUUCGUCUGUGGUUAAGGAACCAGAAUAUUUAGAAUACUACAUGCAUAGCACUCUUGGAAAGGAACAGCUUGUAUUUGGAACAAGAUUGAAUAGAAGGACAAGGCAAGCUAGGAGAUUGAUUAAUUAACAGUAUAAAGGGCAGCGCAAAAUUACCGGGCAAGUUAGGAGUGUCAAGGAACAGCUUCUUUCGUGAUACUCCAUUACAAUCAAACAAGCUGAGGAAGCUUCCCCUGGAACGUCUUUUCUCGAUCUCCAUUCUAAUCGACGCUCCGGUUCAUGUACUCGCACCCACCUAGGACCGAGACUCUCUGGUGUUAAAAUUUAAUGAUUUUAUCAAUCAAGCUCUAUUAAUCUGCUUCUCAGGUACCUCUGUUUCUCCACGAAGAUAGUCACGCUGAUGAAAGAAGAGAGUGAAACAGACAGGGGGGAGGAGAAAGAAGAAAAAGAAAGCAGAGGACCAGGAAGAGGGCGUAUUUCUGGGGCUAGGAAUAAAAGUGAAGUCAAAGAGAUAGAAUAACGGAAUAAGGCGUGAGAGCGUGAAAUGAGCAAUAAUGGUUAUGUUUGUGACUGGGAAGAGAGGAAGCAAUGAAUUUGAGACACACUUGUGAGCAUGUCCCCUCUAUAUUCAAGGAAUCGGGCUUCUAAAGAUUCAGGGGACUUCAAUGCUCAAGUGUUUUCAGUUCAGUCACUAACACCAGACUUGUUACAGUGUGGGGUAUUCCCAGGCUUUGAAAUUGCAUCCAGCUGGCAUUGAAUGCGACACCACUAAUGCAUCCAUAAUUUGUGAUGCUUUGGCUUCAUAAGAACUAUUAUGACGCACAAUCCAAUACUCUCUCAAAUUACGAGUACUCCCCGUUUUCCCUCAGGGGGGGGGGGGAAUUAGUUAGCCAGAAAAAAAUGGUGUAUGUUUAUAAAAAAAAUCUAAGAUUAUCGCUUGAACACUA